rnacentral:rRNA from 1 species
AUAAGUUGUAGCAAUACGGCUUUGAAAGUGGCGCACGGGUGCGUAACACGUAUGCAACCUACCUUUUACCGGGGAAUAGCCUCUCGAAAGAGAGAUUAAUACCCCAUAAUAUAGUUGAUAGGCAUCUAUUGACUAUUAAAGUUCAGGCGGUAAAAGAUGGGCAUGCGGUUGAUUAGCUAGUUGGUGAGGUAAUGGCUCACCAAGGCUUCGAUCAAUAGGGGGUCUGAGAGGAUGUCCCCCCACACUGGUACUGAGACACGGACCAGACUCCUACGGGAGGCAGCAGUAGGGAAUAUUGGACAAUGGGCGCAAGCCUGAUCCAGCCAUGCCGCGUGCAGGAUGAAGGCCCUAUGGGUCGUAAACUGCUUUUGUACGGGAAGAAAACACACUACGUGUAGUGUGCUGACGGUACCGUGAGAAUAAGGAUCGGCUAACUUCGUGCCAGCAGCCGCGGUAAUACGAAGGAUCCAAGCGUUGUCCGGAUUUACUGGGUUUAAAGGGUGCGUAGGCGGACUUUUAAGUCAGUGGUGAAAGCCUGUAGCUUAACUAUAGAAUUGCCAUUGAAACUGAAAGUCUCGAGUGUGGUUGAGGUAACUGGAAUAUAUCAUGUAGCGGUGAAAUGCUUAGAUAUGAUAUAGAACACCAAUUGCGAAGGCAGGUUACUGAGCCACAACUGACGCUGAGGCACGAAAGCGUGGGGAUCAAACAGGAUUAGAUACCCUGGUAGUCCACGCUGUAAACGUUGAAUACUCGAUCUUAGCGAUACACAGUUAGGAUCCAAGCGAAAGCGUUAAGUAUUCCACCUGGGAAGUACGAUCGCAAGAUUGAAACUC